AUCUUUGCCAUAAGAUGAGGGCUCUGGCUGUUCUAUUCCGAAGGGGGAGGACACCUCCUCUACCUCAAAGCCUUGAGCUUAACUUGAGAGCUCGGAAGCGGUCCCUCGAAGACCAAGAGGAAUUGAUGUGAAGUUCACUUGGUGUCGGCAAAUUGAGAUCUCACCUUACCAAAGUUGAAAAUCACAAUAUUGUAAUUGAAAUGAUAUCGGCAAAUUGUAUGAUAUGAUGAAACAUUAUUCGGUGUACACAUUUUCUUACAUGUGUUCAAUGGUCUUGAUUUUUCUAUGGAAGAAAG
rnacentral:misc_RNA from 1 species